rnacentral:rRNA from 1 species
UACAGAGGGUGCGAGCGUUAAUCGGAAUUACUGGGCGUAAAGCGCGCGUAGGCGGCUUUGCAAGUCGGGUGUGAAAUCCCCAAGCUUAACUUGGGAACUGCAUUCGAGACUGCAUUGCUAGAGUAUGGGAGAGGGAAGUGGAAUUUCCGGUGUAGCGGUGAAAUGCGUAGAUAUCUGGAGGAACACCGGUGGCGAAGGCGGCAUCCUGGACCGGCAUUGACGCUGAGGCGCGAAAGCCAGGGGAGCAAACGGG